rnacentral:misc_RNA from 1 species
ACAUGCUAAUGACCUGUAGCAUCUAUUUAUAGCCUACCAAAGCUAUCAAUUUCAAAACCGACCUACUAACCGGACAUGGUCAAAAACUAUAGAGAAAACAGCAGAGAAAUUAGCCAUGAAAAAGCAAGUUUAUCAAUGCCAGAGGAUUGGUGUGUUUUAUGUGCUCAAUCAUAAUCCGCAAAACUCUGCAUAUUCUUUUCAAAUAUAUGUGGUUGAAGUUGUUCUGGUGUCAUCUUUUCUCUUUUCAGCGAUGUAAAUAAAUUUACACUCCAAGGAUGCACGCAGGUUUGAUGCUUUCAUUUACCAGUAUGUAUAUAUUUGCAUCAAAGAAUUCAUCGAACAGAAAAUAUAUAAAAACAACAAAGCUUUACAAACAUCACCAAACAAAACCAGAAUCUGACACACCGGUGAGAUAGGCUUUGCCACAAAACUCCAAUUACUGAUUUACAACAUACUAUCUGUCCUGGCUGGCAGACAACAUCACCAAACAAAACCAGAAUCUGACACACCGGUGAGAUAGGCUUUGCCACAAAACUCCAAUUACUGAUUUACAACAUACUAUCUGUCCUGGCUGGCAGACGGCGGAAGAAAUUAAUUGGUGCUGAUGGUGUCCGAUGCCGGAACCUGGGAUGUCUCAUAAAGUAAAAACCUGCCACAAGAGCAAGCACCUGAAAAGGU